UGUUAUAGCCAUAUCUCCCUGCAGCCAAGACCAGUUAAUCACUGAAGCUAAGCAGAGCAAAGCCUGGUCAAUAUCUGGAUGGGAGACCACAUGAGAAAGCUAGGUUGUUGCUGGAA
rnacentral:rRNA from 1 species